UUAUGAAGAUGCUGCUAUGAACAUUCAUUUACAUUUUUUUGUGUGGUCUUAGGAGAAUUUGACCUUGUUCCCUGAAGUUUGUGAGCAUAGAGUAUGAAGUCUGUUCCUUGUCUAGACAUGGGAUUGGCUGGAGCUGCACCUUAGAGCAAAGAGGAGAGCCAAGAUUGUAGUGGGAGUAAGCCACAAUUCUACAGUACUCAGGGUUACUGGGACCCAGUAAGACCUGACCUGGAAUGUAAGAGAGGAAGACUUGAAGAAGAAGAAAGAGUGAAGUUUGGAUAUUAAAGAAGGCUGAACCUGUAUAGUAUCUUUUUUUUGUUUUUUGUUUUUUGUUUGUUUGUUUGUUUGU
rnacentral:lncRNA from 10 species